GGGAUAAACGCUGGCGGCGUGCAUGAGACAUGCAAGUCGAACGGACGAUCGAGGCUUGCUUCGAUCGUUAGUGGCGGACGGCUGAGUAACGCGUAGGUGACCUGCCCCGAAGUGGGGAAUAACUGCCCGAAAGGGUGGCUAAUACCGCAUGUGGUGGUGCGUUCAAUCGCACCAGUAAAGCCGCAAGGCGCUUCGGGAGGGGCCUGCGUCCGAUUAGCUCGUUGGUGGGGUAACGGCUCACCAAGGCGACGAUCGGUAGGUGGUCUGAGAGGACGAUCACCCAGACUGGGACUGAGACACGGCCCAGACUCCUACGGGAGGCAGCAGUCGGGAAUUUUGCGCAAUGGACGAAAGUCUGACGCAGCAACGCCGCGUGAGGGAUGAAGGCCUUCGGGUUGUAAACCUCUUUUAUCAGGGAAGAUAAUGACGGUACCUGAUGAAUAAGUCACGGCUAACUACGUGCCAGCAGCCGC
rnacentral:rRNA from 1 species